ensembl:snRNA U6 U6 spliceosomal RNA
GCUCAAUUCACAACAGCACAUACUAAAAUUAGAACAACACAAAGAAGAUUAGCAUGGCUUCUGUGCAAGGAUGACACACAAAUUUAUCAAGUGUGUCAUACUUUG